rnacentral:rRNA from 1 species
GCGGAGGAAAAGAAACCAACAGGGAUUCCCCUAGUAACGGCGAGUGAAGCGGGAACAGCUCAAAUUUGAAAGCUGGCCUUCGGGUCCGCGUUGUAAUUUGCAGAGGAUGCUUUUGGUUAGGUGCCUUCCAAGUUCCCUGGAACGGGACGCCUUAGAGGGUGAGAGCCCCGUACGGUUGGACACCGAGCCUCUGUAAAGCUCCUUCGACGAGUCGAGUAGUUUGGGAAUGCUGCUCAAAAUGGGAGGUAUAUUUCUUCUAAAGCUAAAUACCGGCCAGAGACCGAUAGCGCACAAGUAGAGUGAUCGAAAGAUGAAAAGCACUUUGAAAAGAGGGUUAAAUAGCACGUGAAAUUGUUAAAGGGGAAGCGUUUACGACCAGACCUCUUCCAGGCGGAUCAUCCGGUGUUCUCACCGGUGCACUUCGUCUGGUGGAGGCCAGCAUCGGUUUUCGUGGGGGGAGAAAAGCUUCGGGAACGUGGCUCCUCCGGGAGUGUUAUAGCCCGUUGUAUAAUACCCUCAUGGGGACCGAGGACCGCGCUUCGGCAAGGAUGCUGGCAUAAUGGUCGUCAACGACCCGUCUUGAAACACGGACCAAGGAGUCGAACAUUUGUGCGAGUGUUUGGGUGUUAAACCCUCACGCGUAAUGAAAGUGAACGGAGGUCAGAGCCUUCGGGUGCAUGAUCGACCGAUCCUGAUGUUUUCGGAUGGAUUUGAGUAAGAGCAUAACUGUUCGGACCCGAAAGAUGGUGAACUAUGCGUGGAUAGGGUGAAGCCAGAGGAAACUCUGGUGGAGGCUCGCAGCGGUUCUGACGUGCAAAUCGAUCGUCAAAUCUGCGCAUGGGGGCGAAAGACUAAUCGAACCAUCUAGUAGCUGGUUACGC